rnacentral:rRNA from 1 species
UACGUAGGGUGCAAGCGUUGUCCGGAAUUAUUGGGCGUAAAGAGCUCGUAGGCGGUUUGUCGCGUCUGCUGUGAAAACUCGGGGCUUAACUCCGGGCCUGCAGUGGGUACGGGCAGACUAGAGUGCGGUAGGGGAGACUGGAAUUCCUGGUGUAGCGGUGAAAUGCGCAGAUAUCAGGAGGAACACCGGUGGCGAAGGCGGCAUCCUGGACCAAUUCUGACGCUGAGGAGCGAAAGCCAGGGGAGCAAACGGG